CAGUCGCCGCGGUAAUGCGAAGGGUGCAAGCGUUAAUCGGAAUUACUGGGCGUAAAGCGUGCGUAGGCGGUGAGUUAAGUCUGCUGUGAAAUCCCCGGGCUCAACCUGGGAAUGGCAAUGGAUACUGGCAAGCUAGAGUGUGUCAGAGGAUGGUGGAAUUCCCGGUGUAGCGGUGAAAUGCGUAGAGAUCGGGAGGAACAUCAGUGGCGAAGGCGGCCAUCUGGGACAACACUGACGCUGAGGCACGAAAGCGUGGGGAGCAAACAGGAUUAGAUACCCGGGUAGUCCCUGUCUCUUAUAC
rnacentral:rRNA from 1 species